rnacentral:rRNA from 1 species
CCUACGGGUGGCAGCAGUGGGGAAUAUUGCGCAAUGCGGGGAACCCUGAUGCAGCGACGCCGCGUGGGUGAAGGAGCACCUCGGUGCGUAAAGCCCUAUCGGCAGGGAAGAAACAGACGGUACCUGACUAAGAAUGCAUGGCUAACUACGUGCCAGCAGCCCCGGUAAUACGGAGGGGGCACGCGGUCUCCGGAUGGACUGGGUGUAAAGGGAGCGUAGACGGCGGCGCAAGUCUGGAGUGAAAGCCCGGGGCCCAACCCCGGGACUGCUCUUGAAACUGCGGCGCUGGAGUACGGGAGAGGCAGGCGGAAUUCCUGGUGUAGCGGUGAAAUGCGUAGAUAUCAGGAGGAACACCGGCGGCGAAGGCGGCCUGCUGGACCGUGACUGACGUUGAGGCUCGAGAGCGUGGGGAGCAAACAGGAUUAGAUACCCGGGUAGUC